CAGUCGAGCGGAUGACGGGAGCUUGCUCCUUGAUUCAGCGGCGGACGGGUGAGUAAUGCCUAGGAAUCUGCCUGGUAGUGGGGGACAACGUUUCGAAAGGAACGCUAAUACCGCAUACGUCCUACGGGAGAAAGCAGGGGACCUUCGGGCCUUGCGCUAUCAGAUGAGCCUAGGUCGGAUUAGCUAGUUGGUGGGGUAAUGGCUCACCAAGGCGACGAUCCGUAACUGGUCUGAGAGGAUGAUCAGUCACACUGGAACUGAGACACGGUCCAGACUCCUACGGGAGGCAGCAGUGGGGAAUAUUGGCACAAUGGGCGAAAGCCUGAUCCAGCCAUGCCGCGUGUGUGAAGAAGGUCUUCGGAUUGUAAAGCACUUUAAGUUGGGAGGAAGGGCAGUAAGCUAAUACCUUGCUGUUUUGACGUUACCGACAGAAUAAGCACCGGCUAACUCUGUGCCAGCAGCCGCGGUAAUACAGAGGGUGCAAGCGUUAAUCGGAAUUACUGGGCGUAAAGCGCGCGUAGGUGGUUCGUUAAGUUGGAUGUGAAAGCCCCGGGCUCAACCUGGGAACUGCAUCCAAAACUGGCGAGCUAGAGUACGGUAGAGGGUGGUGGAAUUUCCUGUGUAGCGGUGAAAUGCGUAGAUAUAGGAAGGAACACCAGUGGCGAAGGCGACCACCUGGACUGAUACUGACACUGAGGUGCGAAAGCGUGUGGAGCAAACAGGAUUAGAUACCCUGGUAGUCCACGCCGUAUACGAUGUCAACUAGCCGUUGGAAUCCUUGAGAUUAUAGUGGCGCAGCUAACGCAUUAAGUUGACCGCCUGGGGAGUACGGCCGCAAGGUUAAAACUCAAAUGAAUUGACUGGGGCCCGCACAAGC
rnacentral:rRNA from 1 species